UCGCGGCUUAUCACCGGCAGUCUCCUUAGAGUGCUCAACUAAAUGGUAGCAACUAAGGACGGGGGUUGCGCUCGUUGCGGGACUUAACCCAACAUCUCACGACACGAGCUGACGACAGCCAUGCAGCACCUGUGUUCCGAUUCCCGAAGGCACCCUCGCAUCUCUGCAAGGUUCCGGACAUGUCAAGACCAGGUAAGGUUCUUCGCGUUGCAUCGAAUUAAACCACAUACUCCACCGCUUGUGCGGACCCCCGUCAAUUCCUUUGAGUUUCAUUCUUGCGAACGUACUUCCCAGGUGGAUUACUUAAUGCCUUCGCUUGGAAGCUGAUCAGUGUGUCGCCAACGUCGAGUAAUCAUCGUUUAGGGCGUGGACUAC
rnacentral:misc_RNA from 1 species